rnacentral:lncRNA from 1 species
UCGGAGAGUAGGGCACCAGAGCAGCUAGAAUUCGGCUCUGGGUACCUCCCGACCAUGCCCGCUACCGCAGGCGCCGGGCGAGCGCAGGCCGCGCCUCCGGAGCCCGAGGGCCUGGCGACGUCACCGAGGCUCUGACGCGCGCUAACCCAGGCGCGGGCUUCCUCCCGGCAGGGCAGGCGUAGGAUGGGGACGCCUCUCCUGGAAUCCAGUCCCAGACCAGGCUGCGCGAUCACGGGAAGGGACGGAGCGGGGGCGGAGGCAGCAGAAAGGAUCCGGAGUCCCAUUUGACCAGCCGUGGGGCCAGGCUCCAGAUUUGCCCUCCCCGAGGCCGGCAGAGGGCGCUGCCGCACGCGCAUGGAGUUUCACUACUGUCAGCUCUGCCUACAAACACUUGCAGAGGCUUUCCUUCUUCAGGUGAAUUCCCCCACCCACGUAUCUUAGACCUGUGUCUUUAGACUGAGCAAUUGCUAUCCCUUCGAGGCUUCCCAAGUCCCAAUCUGCUCGCCCGUGUUCUGUUAAGUGGCAAGAAUGGGGCUUCCAUUCGGUUUAAAGGCCUGGGUAUUGCAAAUUCAGUGCGGUCUGGCCUCCCCUUCUGGUGAGUCCCUGAGUGAUUUAAAAUGGAGGUAGAUCCUCCACUUGAAAUAGAUAACGAAUUUUCUUUCCUUUCCAAAACCGGAAAUGGAGACUAAAGAGGGAGCCGACAGAUGAAACGGUCUAUUUUCAUAAUAGCCACCGCCUAUUGGUCGCUCCUUUUGCUCCAGGCUCUUUUUAGACCUUGACUCACUAUGGACUGAACAUUGUGAAUCAUGAUUCCCAUUGAUGUAAAGUCAGAAAACUAAUAAAUAAUGAGGCCAGGAUUUGAUCUAGGAACUCUACUCUUAAAGCCACAUUCCCAAAACCAAGAUGCCCAAGUGGACAACUGAUCCAAAAGGGUAGUUUAUAACACCAAAUCUAGGGUGCUUAGCAAGAUCCUACCAUGAAUGGAGUUUGGCCAGCUUUCUUAAGCCCUCUUUAAAAUAAAGUCUGAAGGGGCAAUGAGAGAGUCCACUGGAGGCUUUUUGUUUUAG